GCCCGAAUGGCUCAGUGGUAAAGCGUCUCACUAGUAUCUCCGUUCGUUUCAGGACUGAAUACAGUCAUGAGGCGAUCGUUUCCGACAUGAGAAGACCGCUAGUUCGAUUCUGGCUUUGGGCA